CGCGUGUCGCACGUAUGUUAUACGCACAGGUCUCUGAUAGCAACGAACGUGACCGUACUCUAUUGUUGCAGCGACAAUACCUUUCAACGGGUAUUACCGCUGCUUAGCAAGAUUCGUCUUGCAUUAAACUAUAGAGACCGCUGUUUCUUCUUUAAACCAGAGGAAGGAUACGGCAAUAACAGGUCUGUGAUGCCCUCAGAUGUUCCGGGCUGCACACGUGCUACAAUGAUCAUUGCACUGUGCAUCUAACCCAAUGUGCGCGGACGCCGCCGUGCGUAUAUACUUUAUUGUGUAUGCGUAUCGUGCGUGCGACCGCGCCGAACCUGCUUCGAAAGUAAACAUUUCCAGCGGGUAAUCCAUUAGAAGUAAUGACUCGCAUAGACCAUGGCACACUAUAUGUACCCGCGGGUUCUACCCGGCUCGCCUUUGUGUGAGUGCAGUGCGUAGCUCGUUGUUUGGUACGUGCCACUCCGUAUUAAUUCAUACGUGGGGAUAGAUCAUUGUUUAAUUGUUGGUCUCGGUCUUAACUAGGAAUGCCUUGUACGGGUCUUUGGUUCAACAUACCACCCGGAAUACGUCCCUGCCCUUUGUACACACCGCCCGUCGCUCUUACCGAUGGAUUAUACUAUGAAUCUAUAGGACUGCCAAAGUUGCUCUUCGCGGCGCGCUUAGUGGAAAUAUAUAGAAUAGUGGAUC
rnacentral:rRNA from 1 species